AGCCUGGCUAAUACCCGCCCUGAUCUGGAGCGAGAGUUUCACCUGCACCAGCAAAAUGGACCAGAACCAACAAGACGCUCAAACUGGUUCCAUCCGAGAAGUUACGAGAAACCUUAUGGAUUUACUGAAUGCUCAUCUACAAGCAGAGGGCCCGCAACAAACACCAACUGUGCCACAGCGCACAACACCAGCGACAACACCUUAACAGACUAUCCCUCGGUCUACAGUUCAUCAAGAAAUGUCAAGGAUUUCCAAGAGCCAGACAUCGACUGGGAUGUUGCUGCAGAGUACAGCCCAGAUGUGGACGGUGCUGCUGUGGUCCCGGAGUUCGACAGUCCCCUCACUGAAGAGCAGCAUGCUGAACUGCAUCCAUGCUUUCGUUCUUUUUUAAACACAGAAACAGUUUUGUUUACCUGUUAGUAGCUACAGUUUCGCCGACGGCUGCCGGCUUCUUCAGGCUGACGCUGAUGGUGGCGCGUAAAAAUUCUAACCAGAUUAAGUGCUUGGAAGAGCCAUCCACAUCCAGUAUGAUGCUGUUCAGAUGUGGAAACAAACAAAAAAAAAAAGAUUAAACUCUCAUAACAUAUUGUGUACAACGUGCAUGGGUAAAAACAUGCACCUGUCCUCUUCCUCCUUCACCACAAAAGCUGGCAUGCAGUUGUACAGACUCCUGAGUAAAUUCUUAUCACACAAUGGACAGGAAACCUAUUAAAGACAUUUUUUUAAAUCAGUGACCAACAAUCAUUGUUAAGUAAACAAUAAUGAUUAACAUGAAAUGUAAUUAAAAUAUUCUGUAUAUUGCUAACGUGCAUGUUUGAAGUUUGAUUUAAAGGGAUAUUCCACCCUAAGUGAAAAUUUGUCUACUGUCUAAAUUGGCUCCUGCAAAUGUGUUACUUCUUACUUUUCAUUUGCAGUCAACAUGAUUAUUGAGCUCAACAGGAAUAACUGGUAUCAUAAUUUAGUAAUUUUACAGUUUUGCACACAAAAUGCUACUACCUCCCAUUAACUUACAUGGUUUAUUCUCAUCUAAAGCAGACAGACUGCUGGCAGAUAAGAAUUACUGCGCUGGUUAAAACAAUCCUUUUUCAUUCACUUAUCCAACUCUGGGGAAUACGGCACUAGAAAACAUUUUUGGAUCUUUCCCUGACACAUAUCUAGCCCCUCAUAACUCGAUCCCAGUUCCUGGAUAAAACACAGGACAUUUUAUUCCAUGUAGGACCCUAAUCCACCUAGCUAUGUGCCCAUGUUGCAAUAUUAAAUGUGAGGAGUCGUAAAAAGUAGCAUAACAAAACAAUUUUAUGGAAUAAACUGCAGCUAGUAGCCUUCAAAAAUAACUUACUUGAGCGUCUUGUUGGUUCUGGUCCAUUUUGCUGGUGCAGGUGAAACUCUCGCUCCAGAUCAGGGCGGGUAUUAGCCAGGCUGUUAGUGCGCAGAUGCGGCAGCCACACAGGAAAAUCCACAGAGCGCAAAACGAGCGCACCCCAAAGAGGUUUGUUCCCGCCCAGUCCCACAAGUCUUUCUAUUGGCUGAGCGGUUGCUAGGAGAUUGUACUUCUAAGUUUUGAGCGAGAGCAGACAAGAUCCGUGAGAGCAGGGGACAGACUUGUGGGAGGAGUUUUGAUCCGUGUAGAGAAAAAGUUGUCACAUGAGAAGACAAUACCAGUGUAAGAAGGUUAAAUCUGAGCGCAAAAACAAAGAUUUGAAGGAGAACAGAGUGAAUUUGAAAGAGAGCAGACAUUUUGAGCGCAAGCA